UACGGGGGGGGCAAGCGUUGUUCGGAAUUACUGGGCGUAAAGGGCUUGUAGGUGGCCAACUAAGUCAGACGUGAAAUCCCUCGGCUUAACCGGGGAACUGCGUCUGAUACUGGAUGGCUGGAGUGUGGGAGAGGGAUGCGGAAUCCCAGGUGUAGCGGUGAAAUGCGUAGAUAUCUGGAGGAACACCGGUGGCGAAGGCGGCAUCCUGGACCAUUACUGACACUGAAAAGCGAAAGCCAGGGGAGCAAACGGG
rnacentral:rRNA from 1 species